rnacentral:lncRNA from 1 species
GCCCUUUUCCCUUUCUGCCCUCUGCCAUGUGAGGUCACAGUGUUCCUCCCUCCUGAGGAUGCAGUGUUCAUGAAAGCAAACACUGGGCCCUCACCAGGCAACAAACCUGCUGGUGCCUUCAUCUUGGACUUCCCAGCCUUCGGAACUGUUAAGAAGCUCCACUGCGCUUUGUCCAUUGCAAGUUGAGAAGUGAGGCCCCAGCUGUCACAUACAGCAGUGGUGGCUGAGAGGAAGAACUGACACCUUUGUGCUAUCAGAGCACUUUGCAGAGGAGCUGUUAGUGGCCCUGUAGGAGUCUGCUGGCCAUACAUCUGGGUGUCAAAUCAAGAGAGCAUGAGAAGUUGGACAGGAAAGGUCCAAGGCAAAAUGGUUACUAAAGGCCAUCCCUGAUCCUGACCCUAAAAGAAGAAAAGGCCCUUUGCUCUUGGCAUGCUUUUGCAGGAGUGUCUCAGUCUGUUUGGGCUGCUAUAACAUUGACUGGGUGAUCUGCCUGCCUGGCCUCCCAAAGUGCUGGGGUUACAGGUGUGAGCCGCUGCACCAGGCCUUGAGGUCAGGAGUUCGAGACCAGCCUGGCCAACAUGGUGAAACCUGUCUUUACUAAAAAUACAGAAAUUAGCCAGGCAUGGAGGCGCAUGCCUGUAAUCCCAGCUACUGGGGAGGCUGAGGCAGGAGAAUCGCUUGAACCCAGAAGGUGGAGGUUGCGGUGAGCCCAGAUAGUGCCAUUGCACUCUAGCCUGGCCAACAAGAGUGAAACUCUGUCUCAAAAAAUAAAUAAACAAACAAACAAA